GGCACAAGCUUUUGGGUGGGGCUCAAAGCCUCAAACUUAAAGGUCAGGGAAUUCAGCUCAACUUUUAGAGAAAAAUAAGUUAUUGCUGUCUGGUCUGCCACAGUUUGCUCUGGUGUCUUAUAGAGAGGAAGAGGUCUAAAGGGUUCUUAAUAGAUAUGGCAGAAAAUGUAAGUCACAUAUCACAUGUUAAUGUGUAAUUCUUUCCUUGUAUGAUACCAUUGUG